rnacentral:rRNA from 1 species
AUUGAACGCUGGCGGCAUGCUUUACACAUGCAAGUCGAACGGUAACAGGCCGCAAGGUGCUGACGAGUGGCGAACGGGUGAGUAAUGCAUCGGAACGUGCCCAGUCGUGGGGGAUAACGCAGCGAAAGCUGUGCUAAUACCGCAUACGAUCUUUGGAUGAAAGCGGGGGACCGUAAGGCCUCGCGCGAUUGGAGCGGCCGAUGUCAGAUUAGGUUGUUGGUGGGGUAAAGGCCCACCACGCGAACGAUCUGUAGCUGGGCUGAGAGGACGACCGGCCACGCUGGGACUGGGACACGGCCCAGAGUCCUACGGGAGGCAGCAGUGGGGAAUUUGUGACAAUGGGCGCAAGCCUGAUCCAGCAAUGCCGCGUGCAGGAAGAAGGCCUUCGGGUUGUAAACUGCUUUUGUACGGAACGAAACGGUCUGGGUUAAUACCUCGGGCUAAUGACGGUACCGUAAGAAUAAGCACCGGCUAACUACGUGCCAGCAGCCGCCGUAAGAC